rnacentral:rRNA from 1 species
AUUGAACGCUGGCGGCAGGCCUAACACAUGCAAGUCGAGCGAGCGGCGGACGGGUGAGUAAUGUCUGGGAAACUGCCUGAUGGAGGGGGAUAACUACUGGAAACGGUAGCUAAUACCGCAUACCAUCAGAUGUGCCCAUAUGGGAUGAGCUAGUAGGUGGGGUAACGGCCCACCUAGGCGACGAUCCCUAGCUGGUGUGAGAGGUUGACCAGCCACACUGGAACUGAGACACGUUCCAUACUCCUACGGUAGGGAACAUUGGGGAAUAUUGCACAAUGGGCGCAAGCCUGAUGCAGCCAUGCCGCGUGUGUGAAGAGGGCCUUCGGGUUGUAAAGCACUUUCAGCGGGGAGGCGUUACCCGCAGAAGAAGCACCGGCUAACUCCGUGCCAGCAGCCGCGGUAAUAC